rnacentral:rRNA from 1 species
CCUACGGGAGGCAGCAGUGGGGGAUAUUGCACAAUGGGGGAAACCCUGAUGCAGCGACGCCGCGUGGGCGAAGAAGUAUUUCGGUAUGUAAAGCCCUAUCAGCAGGGAAGAAGAAAUGACGGUACCUGAGUAAGAAGCACCAGCUAAAUACGUGCCAGCAGCCGCGGUAAUACGUAUGGUGCAAGCGUUAUCCGGAUUUACUGGGUGUAAAGGGAGCGCAGGCGGCACGGCAAGCCUGAUGUGAAAGCCCGCGGCCCAACCGCGGGACUGCAUUGGGAACUACCGGGCUGGAGUGCCGGAGAGGUAGGCGGAAUUCCUAGUGUAGCGGUGAAAUGCGUAGAUAUUAGGAGGAACACCAGUGGCGAAGGCGGCUUACUGGACUGUAACUGACGUUGAGGCUCGAAAGCGUGGGGAGCAAACAGGAUUAGAUACCCGAGUAGUC